CUUAGAAUCAACAGAUAAUCCAGGAUGACAAAGUGGCACUGAACCAGGAAGAAAGGAGGCAGCAACGACACCACCAAUGGAAGAAUCACUUUCAUUUCUGAAAAAAACAGACUCCAACGAGAGACUGCUGAGCUGGAAUUGAUAUGCAAACUAGACACAAUCAACUCAGGAUUGAAUAAGGACUGGGAAUGGCUGAGCCAUUACAAACAUUGAAUCUAUCUCCCCUUAGUUGGAGGAUUCUAAUCCCAUGAGCCAUCGAGGAGCCAUGCCCUGAGGUGGAGAACUGCUAGGUUGGGAUGAAGCACACGAUCCACAUCCUGUGACAGGAGCUUCAGAUGCAACUCCUGGAACAGAGCAAGGGCUGCCUGGGUGGAAGACAGCACUGCUUCAUAGGAACGGCCCUUGAGUAGCCAGUCGUUGAGAUAUGGGAAAACUAGGAUUGCUACUUG